UACGUAGGGGGCAAGCGUUGUCCGGAAUCAUUGGGCGUAAAGCGCGUGUAGGCGGUUCGGUAAGUCGGCUGUGAAAGUCCAGGGCUCAACCCUGGGAUGCCGGUCGAUACUGCCGGACUAGAGUUCGGAAGAGGCGAGUGGAAUUCCCGGUGUAGCGGUGAAAUGCGUAGAGAUCCGGAGGAACACCAGUGGCGAAGGCGACACGCUGGGCCGUACCUGGCACUGAUGCGCGACAGCAUGGGGAGCAAACAGG
rnacentral:rRNA from 1 species